GGGCCCGUAGCUUAGCUCGGUAGAGCGCCCGGCUCAUAACCGGGUGGUCGCCGGUUCAAAUCCGGCCGGGCCCA
rnacentral:tRNA from 1 species